rnacentral:rRNA from 1 species
CAAGGCCUACGGGGCGCAGCAGUGAGGAAUAUUGGUCAAUGGCCGGAAGGCUGAACCAGCCAAGUCGCGUGAGGGAAUAAGGCCCUAUGGGUCGUAAACCUCUUUUGUCAGGGAGCAAAGGCGUCCACGUGUGGACGAGAGGAGAGUACCUGAAGAAAAAGCAUCGGCUAACUCCGUGCCAGCAGCCGCGGUAAUACGGAGGAUCCGAGCGUUAUCCGGAUUUAUUGGGUUUAAAGGGAGCGUAGGCGGGUUGUUAAGUCAGUUGUGA